CGAGGUGCUCCCCGUGAGUCGACUGGCGGCAAAUGAAAUGUCCUCGGGCGUUUUUCAGUUGCUUUUUAUGCAGGGCUUCCUGUGGAACGCAGGAAUUGGAUGGACAAUCCCAAACCGGAAUUCCUGUUGUUCCCAAGCUCCUCUCACAGUGGGGAUUCACAGAUGGUAGAUGGAUAGUUUGAGUCCUGCUUCUGAUCAAGUUGCAGUUCAGCUUUGGCUCAGGAGGACCGUGAUCAGGAGGCGGCUCUGUAGCUCAGGUCAGCCUCAGGUUACCUGUUUGAAGAAUCUGCGACCCCCCAGUUCAGUGUGUGUUUAUUUAGCUUUUAACUCACUCACUACACACACCCAAGCAAACAAGACUGAAAGGGCUGGUUAUCUUGAAGGUCACCACACAGGUGUGUUUGGCUGUUCCUGUCCUUUCACUGUUUCUUCUCGUGAAACACAGACUUUUUUGUCUCAGCUGUCCCCUUGAACCGCUCGGCAGCCUUUGUUUGGUUUUGGUCAUGUGACCUCAGGGCUCCUCACAGGCUGGAGUCAUUCAAAAAAAUCAAACACAUUUAUAAUCUCUAUUAUAUUUACUUGCCGUGUAGCCAUAAAACUGGCUAUUAAUCAUGUUUUAUGUGUUUGUAAUGCCUCAUAGUUUUUUUUUUGAUUGAAGUUACAGCUGAAGGACUUUAACUCAAAUUUGUCUUGUUGUAAAAAUAAUACUUAACACCACCUUUCAGCUUCAGUGCUUUUGCAGGCGUACCGGACUGAUUCGCUUGUACCAUUUUAAGGAUCAUUUUGUAGCCUGAAGUGACGUACUGAUAAAACCGCGUGUUCGAUUUUGUUUAAAACAAAAGCUUCAGUUAUAGUUGACUAAAACGGUGUGUGCUUUUCCUUUCCUUUUUCGUUCUUGAUGAUGCCUCACGUUGACUCUAUCAUCCCUGAUUACCAUAUGCAGGUAAGGGUGUGAAGGGUUACGCAGUCUUCGAUGUGAGUGAGAAUGUUGUUAUGCAGUACGGUAAAGGAUUUCUGGCAUCGGCUCAGCUUGAACCUCACAGCUCCCUCAUCAGGUUUUACGACUGUCAUCCAGGCAUGUGGGUCCUGUUCGUCAGCCUCUCAGCUCCCUGGAGGUUCGCUGGCUAAACUUCACACUUGCUCUGUUGUAAUCAGUGGAGCCGAAUGUGUUCGCCAAUGGGACACAUCCACAGUGGACAUUAUGUUCAGGUUCACGUUCUGAAUUCACUGUGAAGUCAGAAGACAUUUCGAUUAUUUAUAAUGUUAUGAGAAUAAUAAAUUCUACCUCAACAAAUAAUACACAGAGCAAUAAGAAAAGGUUGUGCAAAUAUUUUAUAUUUCAUGUUUUUUUUUUUAAAGAAAACAAAAACCUUCAGUUUCUGGCACAGCAGCUUUGAGCAUAUUUCCUCUUAAUGUUAGC